rnacentral:rRNA from 1 species
UACGUAGGGCGCAAGCGUUGUCCGGAAUUAUUGGGCGUAAAGAGCUCGUAGGCGGUCCGUCACGUCGGCUGUGAAAUCCUGAGGCUCAACCUCAGGCUUGCAGUCGAUACGGGCGGGCUGGAGUUCGGCAGGGGAGACUGGAAUUCCUGGUGUAGCGGUGAAAUGCGCAGAUAUCAGGAGGAACACCGGUGGCGAAGGCGGUUCUCUGGGAAUAUCCUGACGCUGAGGAGCGAAAGUGUGGGAGGCGAACAGG